rnacentral:lncRNA from 1 species
AUUUUAAGAGCAUUUUUCUUAGGAGUUACAAGAACCAAAUUCCAAAGUUAAUUUUUUUCCUCAUAAAAAACUUCAGUAGCUCUACUUCAUCCUCAUCAAACUUGUAACCUAAUAUCUUGUUAAACUUAAUCUUGUAUGGAUAAGGAACAAACAUAUCAAGUUCGUUCUUGUAGUGAAGCUUCUAGUGAGAUGUUUGAAGGAAAUUGAAGCCAUUUAGUUGGAGUAAUAAUUUUAAAUGUAUCCAUAUCAUUAGUAAUUUAUCAUUAAGAAAAUCAGCCAAGAAAAACACAUCUACAAUGGAAAAGGAUGUUGGUAUUGAUGGCACAAGGGAAUCCUUAUCGAGUGGAAAUGAGUGCAACAUGGUCUUGAGACCCAUAAGAUUUUUCUGGUACAGAUCUUCUCCAAAGCUUUCUCCUUUAAACCUUAUGACCUGAGAUUUACACGAUAGAAAAUAUUGACAUCCAACAUCUAGAUAUUAU